GGGGAUUUAGCUCAGUGGUAGAGCGCUUGCCUAGCAAAUGCAAGGCCCUGGGUUCGUUCCCCAGCUCCG
rnacentral:tRNA from 1 species